GCCGGCGCGGCGCCGUGCGCCGCGCACGCCGGCGCGCGGCGCCGAUCCGGCGCGGCGGCGCACGCGGGCGCAAAAAGUGGCCUGGUCCUGGGUCGUUUUAUGUCCACGCGUUGCAUUUGUGGGGAUCCGGCUUCGGGUAGGUGUGGGAAGGAUAGAACUGUCGAGCUCCGCCGGCGCGCCCGGCGUCCUGUUGUUCGCGAGCCCCGCCGGGCGCUGCGGCGGGCGGCACGUGCCUUUAGGGGUCGCCCGGUGGCCCCGGCGGCGUGCGCACGCGCACGUGCGCCACAGCCGUGCCGCGCGGCGCCGUGCGCCGCGGCACGCGCCGGCGCGCGCGGCUGCCGAUCCGGUGCGCGCGGCGGCGCACGCGGGCGCGCCAAAAAGUGGCCUGGUCCUGGGUCGUUUUAUGUCCACGCGUUGCAUUUGUGGGGAUCCGGCUUCGGGUAGGUGUGGGAAGGAUAGAACUGUCGAGCUCCGCCGGCGCGCCCGGCGUCCUGUUGCCCUCGCGAGCCCCGCCGGGCGCUGCGGCGGGCGGCACGUGCCUUUAGGGGUCGCCCGGUGGCCCCGGCGGCGUGCGCACGCGUGGCACGUGCGCCACAGCCGUGCCGCGCGGCGCCGUGCGCCGCGGCACGCGCCGGCGCGCGGCUGCCGAUCCGGUGCGCGCGGCGGCGCACGCGGGCGCGCCAAAAAGUGGCCUGGUCCUGGGUCGUUUUAUGUCCACGCGUUGCAUUUGUGGGGAUCCGGCUUCGGGUAGGUGUGGGAAGGAUAGAACUGUCGAGCUCCGCCGGCGCGCCCGGCGUCCUGUUGCCCUCGCGAGCCCCGCCGGGCGCUGCGGCGGGCGGCACGUGCCUUUAGGGGUCGCCCGGUGGCCCCGGCGGCGUGCGCACGCGUGGCACGUGCGCCACAGCCGUGCCGCGCGGCGCCGUGCGCCGCGGCACGCGCCGGCGCGCGCGCUGCCGAUCCGGUGCGCGGCGGCGCACGCGGGCGCGCCAAAAAGUGGCCUGGUCCUGGGUCGUUUUAUGUCCACGCGUUGCAUUUGUGGGGAUCCGGCUUCGGGUAGGUGUGGGAAGGAUAGAACUGUCGAGCUCCGCCGGCGCGCCCGGCGUCCUGUUGCCCUCGCGAGCCCCGCCGGGCGCUGCGGCGGGCGGCACGUGCCUUUAGGGGUCGCCCGGUGGCCCUGUCGGCGUGCGCACGUGCGCACGUGCGCCGCGGCACGUGCCGGCGCGCUUGGCGGCCGAGCCGGUGCGCGCGGCGGCGCACGCGGGCGUGCCCAAAAGUGGCCUGGUCCUGGGUCGUUUUAUGUCCACGCGUUGCAUUUGUGGGGAUCCGGCUUCGGGUUGGUGUGGGAAGGAUAGAACUGUCGGGCUCCGGCGCGCCCGGCGUCCUGUUGCCUUCGCGAGCCCCGCCGGGCGCUGUGGCGGGCGGCACGUGCCUUUAGGGUCGCCCGGUGGCCCCGUGGGCGUGCCCAAAAGUGGCCUGGUCCUGGGUCGUUUUAUGUCCACGCGUUGCAUUUGUGGGGAUCCAGCUCUGGGUACCUGUGGGAACCGGGAAACCCUCGAGACGCUCGUAGUUCCGCGCACGGCGUCCCGCCGCGUCCCCGGCCGUCCGCUGACCCCCGUCCGGCGUCGACGGGCCCCUCGGGGCCUCCGACGCACGGUCGCGCGCGGGCGCGGCGCCGGGUCGCCUCGGGCACGUGACGGCGCGUGAGUAGUGGUCUGCGCGUUGCGCCUGCGGCCUCCCCUGCCCGAGUGCAGCCGACCGCGGGCGCGGGUCGCGUCUCGUUCGUCCCCGGAUGCCGGAGGGCUCGCCCCUCGUGGUCUGUACCGCCUAGCCGGAAUGCGGCAACCUCGGAACCCCGACGACUGGGCGCCGGCUCUCCCUCCCCAGCGGGCGGGCGAGAGGCGGCCGGUCGCGGCCCCCGUGCGUCCCCCGACUCGCCCAGCGCGUGU
rnacentral:rRNA from 1 species